GAUUUCACUCAAUCCAAGCCCCACAUUCAUCAGGAAUUCAUUUCCAAAAAGAAGCUCGAUUAGAUUUUGUAAAGUGGGGGCUGAAAAAAAUAAUUUAGAGAAAAAAGAGGUCGAAAGGUUUUCUGUGAAAAAAGGGAUUUUCCGGAUUUAUUUUCUUUGACGAGGUCAUUUAAAGUUUAAGAAAACCUAGAUACAAUUUUUCUUCAUCUUUUGAAUCCGGAUUUAAGUUCCUGAGGGAUACAAAUUGAAGUUCGAUCUAUUUUUACUGUUGUUCUGUUGAGUCGCUACUGAACCUCGAUAGGAUUCAGAAUCAAAAGGUGUAUUGUCGUGAACAUAGUUAUUAAAAGGAUUUGAAAUUUCAGGUCCGAUUUCUUUCUCUUUCGCAUCUCUGUUAUAAAGUAUAUUUGAACAGUGAGAUUUUGUUCAGAAUGAUGUUUGGUUUUGGACGUAAUUCUUUUGUGGUUGAAGUGCUUCUCAGCGCUGUGAUGUAUUUGAAUAUUUUCAGUUAGUAGAAGUUGGUUUUGAGUGGUCGGUUUUAUAUGAUUUAAUUUUUAUUGUGAUGUCGAUUUUCAUUUGAGUCAAGGUUUUGUCACUUUCAAAUGAACGAUGUGUUCAACUUCCGUGAUUGCUAAGAGAGCAUGAAACUGUGAGGUUAUUUCUCAUUUUGUGUGUUUUCCGGACUCUAAAUGAUCUGCUCCGAUGAGAUCAUUGUGUUUAUCAGAAUUUUUCUUCCUUUAGGCUAGAAUUCACAAAAUUGUUUAAUCUUAUUUUUCCCUAGUUUUUCUUACUAUUUGCCCUGUUCUUACUUGUCUGGAGCUGCUUCAACAAUAUGCAAUCCUUAUGGCUUAUAAUUUGAGAUGACCAAUGAGUUUCGUGUUUCCAGUGGUCAUUUCUAUUUGUUGAUCCUCUUAAAACAUCAUUUAACAUGUACUUAUUAGUGUGUGUUUUGCUUCCCUUGAAAGUAGCUGGUAUCUAUUAGCUUUUCUUGAAUCUUUUGUCCUGUUUAAACAUAAAGGAUGAGACUCCAUUCCCUGACUAAAUGGUUAAGUGCUUUGUUUUAAUCGAUGGUUAAGGCGUGUUGUUUUAUCUUGGUUUUGUUUUGUAGAAGAUGGCAGUGUUUAGCCCGAGCUAGCGACUGAGUCACGAGUUUGAGAUUAGGGAAAGUGUUUCUUUUACUGCCAUCUUGUUUGAAAGCAUAUGAUUAUAAGGUUGAAUCCCUUUUAUGAAUCUGUAUCGACUGGCGAAAGGGAUAGAUAAGCCAGUUUAACGAGGAGAUGAGUUCGAAGACGGAUUGUUGGAUGAACAUCUUAAUUAUGCUUGGGUUAACUUUGAUUGUUUCUUGUGUGGAAUGAUAACAAGCUGAACGUGAUAAAGCUCGACGAUCCUACGUGUUUUGUUUACUCCAGUGUUGUAAAAUUACAUUUUGAACAGACUCUCUUAGUUGCUGCAUGACCUCCCAGAGUGGCUGCUACAGAUGGGUUUGCAGAUUUGAAUGUUGAGUUGUUUGCGAGGUCUAUUUGUGUUUAAAUCAUAUACAUUUUACCCCUUAAGUUAGCUUAAAGCAUAUGAAUAGAGAAAAUGUUAUCAUGUUUAACACAGAAUCAUAUGCCUGUGGAUUUUAACGAACUAGGCAUCUGAUUUUGUCGGCUGCGAUUUGUCUAACAUUGCUGAUCAUUGAAGUUUAGAGGGCUAAUCUCUGACAGUGUUUGAUUAUUGGUAUAAAUGAUAUUUACACAAGCUAUUCUUUGAACUCUGCUUCGGAACAUGUGGUCUUUUAACAGCUGAAUGAUAAGAUAAUAAUUUUGCCCUCAACUCUUUCCAUGGCUGUGAUUAUGUGCUUGGACUUGAUAGAAAGGUAUCUGAGUCAUGUUUUCAUAUUAUUGUUGUUUUGACCUUGGAUUUCUGCAAUCUACAUCUUACAAUUUUGAUGUUUAUUGAAUAUCAAGGGGUGUAACUCAGAUUUCCAAACUGACCCUUCCUCGGAAUAUCUUUUGUUUGGCAUAGCUUGUAGGCAUCUGUAUCGGUGCAUCACUAAUAUUUGGAUGAGUUUUGUAGUUUCACAUUUAUGCCCUUCACUUAUUAGGACAUGAUUUUCUGGUAAGUGAACCUCAACUAGGGGGAGAGUGCAAGGGAAAAAUGCAUUUGGGUAGAUUCAUGAGUUAAGCAGAACAAUGUUAUUUUUCGUAACUCUGUGUGACAUGUUUCUUUUAUUUUAGGCUUGGUGUUUCCCCUUUUUCUUUUUAUUUUUAAAAUAUGCCUAUGUAUUGAAUUUCUUUCAGGGACUUUGGGCCUAGUAAAGUGUAGUCUCCAGCUCACGGUGAAAAUCGAUGUGCCAGCUAGAUCUCGAGUAACCCAUUUGCUUUAGUUGAGUAAAAUCCUUUAAAAUUAAAGUUGAGGUGCGCGAUACCAAAUAAAAUGACAAAUGUGUGGCCCUCGUAUUAUUAUUUAUUUUAAAAUACUUAAAAUUCGAGGCGUGCUAUUUAUCGAGUUUUUAUGGCCCUCGCAAAGUUAAUAACGCGUUAGUUGCUUUAGGUGCGUAUUAUAAUAAUUUAUCUUCUUAAAUAUGGGUGCGCAUUUAUGUGACCCAAAUCU
rnacentral:lncRNA from 1 species